rnacentral:ncRNA from 1 species
AUCAAAUCGAUGAACGGAAGUAGUACCUGACUGCGAUCGCCAAGAGAGCUGCCGGCUGGUGCAAGGCAGUGCGAAGGCACCAGGGAACGUGUCCGGGAGAGGAACCGCGAAGGAUGCCGAGCGGCUCACGCACCCCGCGUUACAGGGAAGGGCUCCUGGCAGGUACAGGAGAAGCAAGGUGGUACCGCGAUUCAUGUCGUCCUUUUC